CUCCUGCUCUGCGAGACACGCAAGAACCGGCACCCACCGGGAGGGGUGGCGGUGCCGCCGCGCGGUCCCGUCCCGCCCCGCCCCGCCCCGCUCCCGGUGCGGAUUUGAAUUCAACCCUUUGAGCCGCCGAGGCAAAGAGCUGUGAAGAAAGUUUUCCGAAGCGUGAAGAUAACUGGAGACUCUGCCUCUUGCAGGAGCCGUGUUGAGCACUUGGGCUCACUAGAGCUGAAAGUUUUGCUUAGGGAAUGACCUUCUGUGAUGGGCUAAGUCCAGCUUUUCCAGAGGAACUCGGCACCACGUUCCCUGUAUCCAGCCUCACUUGGAAUUGAAGAAAUCCAUGGAAAAUUAGAAAAGCCAGCACCACUGCUGUUUUUUAUUUCAUUUCUCAAUAGCUGGAUUUCAUAUGAAAACACGACUAACGACAGACACUAUCAGGAUGCAGAAAGCUGUGUUCACAGUAAUGAUAACCGGUCAGCAUUAGAAAAUCCAAAAGAAUACUGUGUAUCAGAAGUGGGGAUCCAAAUGCCACGGUUCAGGCUCAUCUGUAUUGAUGGGAACCACCUUCUGUGUCCUACCAUCGACAUUGGUUUCUCUAAAGGAUAUUUUAUAUUUCCGUAGGAUGAUCCAUGUUAGAGUGACCUCGGGACUCCAAUCUUCUGCUCGAAUCAAGGUCAGCUAUAGGAUCAGACCAGGUUUCUUAGGGUUUUGUCCAGUCAAGGAAUAUCUUAGCCUGCCAACUUUUAUCUGGAGCUGCUAGAUCACCCAUGAACCCCCCUGCUUCUGUUUCUGUUACAAUCUAAAACCUAUGGAACCUUUUGGCAAUAAUACUGAAAUUAAUACCCCCAAAUCCAAAACACCCUUCACAAAAACUCAUGUAGAUAUUACUAUUGGGACACAAGGAAUUUUUUUUUCCAUCUCGACAAUUUAUCUCUGUAGCCACAAGAUUGUCUAUGGACCUUGCCAGUAACUUCUUUUUGCCUGCGAGGAAAAUCAGAGAGAGCGUAAGAACUGUUAACAAGGCUGUGGGAGAUAAGCCAACUGACAAACAGGAUGGAGAACUCUAUCAGUGGGCAAGAACCCCCACCAAACCUGUAUUCAAAGCUCACAACAUUUGUGAUGUCCAGAUCGCCUGUGACAGAGCAGCCGGUCAUGUUUUUAAAAUGAUACCAUUUUGGUGUCUCUCAUCAUCCCGCUGGAGUUCAUGUGAACCUUUCUGACAAAUGCUGAUUUGUUGCAGAAUUAGUCCUUUCUGGGGCUGCUGUGCCAUCAUCCUGCUCUUCCAGUUCAGCCGUUCAAAGUCGGUAGGAAACUCUCAUGACCUCUUUAUUUGCAGACAGAGCAGAUAUCUACAAGCCAAUUGUGGAGAGCAGCUAGUUUGAAUCUAUAUUUAAAUACUCAAAGAAGCAUAUGUUUAUUCAGAUUUCUCUUUAAAGUUCAGGCUCUGAAAGUUGCUCCUAUAUUACAUAUGCAUGUGUUGAUAUAAUCUGGAAUUUUGAGUUGAUUGUAAUAUUGCUACUAGAUAUUAGACUAGAGUUGUUUUACCACCACUUCUUCCUCAAAGGAGAGUUAAUCAUCGACUUAACUAGAAUGCUAAUACGAAUGAUUGCGUUGUUAUGCAUUUGUUGUUUUAUUUAAUUUUUCAGCCUUCUAGGUCCCUUUUGAAAACAAGCUUAGCCAACCAAACUUAACAAGCUUUUACUUGAGUUUGUAUAGAUGUUAAGUAAACAAAAUAUUUUUGCUGCUAAUGCUUGCGGUAUUCAGCUUCAUUAAACAUGUUUAUAUGCAGCCUGUAACCUUUCUCAGCAUAUACAGCUAGCUUGGAAGACAGAUUCUGUUCAGAUAAAAGAAGACGACACGGAAAAUGUAUUUUGGAGAACUUGUUUGAAUGUAGAUCUCCCGAGACGCUCUCAAGGUGACUCGUUCAAGCCAAAGGCCUCAGAUCUUGAAAACUGCAAGGGGUGUAACAGGUCAGGUUGGCUUUUCUUAGAUGGACUUUCCACUGAAUAUCAAUUAAUAAGCAUUUUGCACUGUGAAGUUGUCUGUGGUUCACAAUGUCUCUACAGCUGAGUAGGAGUCCCAGUUACACAGCAGCUGCAGGCUGAGGGUUCGUACACCCCACUUCCCCCCAAAAAAGGGUUUUGUUUCCAAUUAGGUGUCCAGGCUCACGGGGGCAAGGAGACGCCAACAGCAGAGAGCAUGUCAAGAAUGCCACCACAUCUGGCAGAUGUGCAGGGAAGACCCCGGGAAUGCAAACAACUGAGGUCUGCUCUUAGCAAGGAUCAAACACAUGCUUCUUCCUACCUCUGUUUUAUCCUAAAGCACAUCAUACCAAGAUUUUCAUGCCAUUAUGCAAAGCUGGAACACAUCGACGGGAUGAGAACCCACAGGAAGGGAACAGCUUGUGGUGAAGAUGCUGAUGUUAGUCGGGAGACCUGAUUUUGGCAAGUUCCUCCCAUCGGCUCCAUUCUGUUUCUGAAAUAGAGAUUAAAAUAUUGUCUGGUUGUGGUGUUUCAUCGUUUAUUUGUUUUUGGUUUUGCUUUUUCCUCGCCUUUAUGUGUCUAGAUGGUAGGCAUUUAAUCAAUAACAAUAUGCCUUAUCCUUUUUUGAUUUAUAAAACGCUGAAUGUCUCUCUAAUCUGAGCUAGAGACCAACAUGUAUUUGCAGAUGACCUUUAACUGCAAAGAGUAGAUCUCUGUCCCUGCCUUUCAGCUGAGGAGUGUGAAUCCAGUAAUGCAAAUGUUCAGGUUCUCGACAAGCAAAUGAAGCAAAGAGGCGGCUGUGCACCCGUCUUUUCGAAGCUUAAAGCAUCACACGUGCACAGGAAAAAGAAAUGAAAAAGGUUGCCUGUCUGUAGCUCUCUACAGUCGAGCGUUCUUUCAAAGGGAAAAUCCAUCACUUUGAAGAAUUUACAGAAGAAAACCUCCACAGCAACCAAAGCUGCAGGCAAGCGAGUGAGAGGCAAAACGCAACUGCUGGGAAAAAUAAGUAAGGGCCUUUACAGCAGUCCCAUUGAAUUGCAAUUUUCCUUUAUCACAGACUAGGCUGUUAUAAUCUUCUUUUCUACCUCUAGCCACGUAUUCUAAAAGAUUUUCUAAAUGUAAAGAUGUACUGUAGAAGCGAAGUUUCUUACUGAUGAAUCUUCUGUACCAAAACACCACCUUAAUUUGCCAAAGAGCGUCAUUUCUCAUUCCCGUUGUCUGUGUGUGAGACGUGGAUCAGAUGUGAUAAAAUGCAGGGGGGUGAUGGAAACGUUAUUUUCCACGGGUGCUGAUGUUCAGCAAGCGCACCCAGUGCCGCCAAAGGCUUCGAGCACGGAUGAGACCGAGUCCUGCGAGACACCGUGUCCCCAAAGGUCCCACAGCAGCCCAGGGGGUCCUGGCAACUUGUUUUUCCAGGCAACCUGAUUUCCUAGGCUGCUUUUUACAGAGGCAGCGCACUUCAACAUUUACAUUAAAGAAAUGAGAUGGAAAUAUUGUUUGCCGGUGCUCAGUGUUUGCAGACGGCCUGAACACUGGGCUGAAAGUCAACAGCCUUGAGAAUAAAGCUAAAAGCAAGGUGAAA